GGUUGGUCCAAUGGUAGUGGGUUAUCAGAACUUAUUAACAUUUAGUGUCACUAAAGUUGGUAUACAACCCCCCACUGCUAAAUUUGGAUGGCUUAAA
ensembl:misc_RNA Y_RNA Y RNA